rnacentral:rRNA from 1 species
CCAGACUCCUACGGGAGGCAGCAGUGGGGGAUAUUGCACAAUGGGGGAAACCCUGAUGCAGCGACGCCGCGUGGGCGAAGAAGUAUUUCGGUAUGUAAAGCCCUAUCAGCAGGGAAGAAGAAAUGACGGUACCUGAGUAAGAAGCACCGGCUAAAUACGUGCCAGCAGCCGCGGUAAUACGUAUGGUGCAAGCGUUAUCCGGAUUUACUGGGUGUAAAGGGAGCGCAGGCGGCACGGCAAGCCUGGAGUGAAAGCCCGGGGCCCAACCCCGAAACUGCUCUGGAAACUGUGCGGCUAGAGUACUGGAGGGGCAGGCGGAAUUCCUAGUGUAGCGGUGAAAUGCGUAGAUAUUAGGAGGAACACCAGUGGCGAAGGCGGCCUGCUGGACAGUAACUGACGUUGAGGCUCGAAAGCGUGGGGAGCAAACAGGAUUAGAUACCCUAGUA